GCCGGGCACGGUGGCUCAUGCCUGUAAUCCCAACAAUUUGGGAGGCUGAGGUGGGUGGAUCACUUGAGGUCAGGAGUUCAAGACCAGCCUGGCCAACAUGGCAAAACCCCGUCUCUACUAAAAAUACAAAAAUUAGCUGGGUGUACUGGCAGGUGCCUGUAAUCCCAGCUACUCAGGAGGCUGAGGCAGGAGAAUCGCUUGAACCCAGGAGGCGGACGUUAUAUGAGCCGAGAUUGUGCCACUGUACUCCAGCCUGGGCAACAGAGUGAGACUCCAUCUCA
rnacentral:sRNA from 1 species